AGGACGAACGCUGGCGGCGUGCUUAACACAUGCAAGUCGAGCGGUAAGGCCUUUCGGGGUACACGAGCGGCGAACGGGUGAGUAACACGUGGGUGAUCUGCCCUGCACUUCGGGAUAAGCCUGGGAAACUGGGUCUAAUACCGGAUAUGACCUCAGGUUGCAUGACUUGGGGUGGAAAGAUUUAUCGGUGCAGGAUGGGCCCGCGGCCUAUCAGCUUGUUGGUGGGGUAAUGGCCUACCAAGGCGACGACGGGUAGCCGACCUGAGACGGGUCGACCGG
rnacentral:rRNA from 1 species